GACGAACGCUGGCGGCGUGCUUAACACAUGCAAGUCGAACGGAAAGGCCCUGCUUGCAGGGUACUCGAGUGGCGAACGGGUGAGUAACACGUGGGUGAUCUGCCCUGCACUUCGGGAUAAGCUUGGGAAACUGGGUCUAAUACCGGAUAGGAGCCAUCUUUAGUGUGGUGGUUGGAAAGUUUUUUCGGUGUAGGAUGAGCUCGCGGCCUAUCAGCUUGUUGGUGGGGUAAUGGCCUACCAAGGCGGCGACGGGUAGCCGGCCUGAGAGGGUGUACGGCCACAUUGGGACUGAGGUACGGCCCAGACUCCUACGGGAGGCAGCAGUGGGGAAUAUUGCACAAUGGGCGCAAGCCUGAUGCAGCGACGCCGCGUGGGGGAUGAAGGCCUUCGGGUUGUAAACUCCUUUCGCUAGGGACGAAGCUUUUUGUGACGGUACCUAGAUAAGAAGCACCGGCUAACUACGUG
rnacentral:rRNA from 1 species